CAAAAGCGUAAAGCUUGUGCAUCCCUCACCAUGCUCAUUUCUUGGUCUAUAUGGAACGAAAGAAAUGCACGGGUCUUUCACAACAAGUCCUCACCGUCAACAAUCUUGCUCAACGACAUCAAACUUGAACUAUCUCUUUGGGUGGUCGCGGGAGCCAAAAAAAUAGGGACCAUCAUUUCGGGGGAGUAA
rnacentral:rRNA from 1 species